AGAACGAACGCUGGCGGCAUGCCUAAUACAUGCAAGUCGAACGAACACUUCGGUGUUAGUGGCGCACGGGUGCGUAACGCGUGGGAAUCUGCCCUUGGGUUCGGAAUAACAGUUGGAAACGACUGCUAAUACCGGAUGAUAUCGAAAGAUCAAAGAUUUAUCGCCCAGGGAUGAGCCCGCGUAGGAUUAGCUAGUUGGUGAGGUAAAGGCUCACCAAGGCGACGAUCCUUAGCUGGUCUGAGAGGAUGAUCAGCCACACUGGGACUGAGACACGGCCCAGACCUCCGUACGGGAGGCAGCAGGUAGGGAAUAGUUAGACAAGUGGACGAAAGCCUGAUCCAGCAAUCGGCCGCGUGAGUGAGUGACGGUCCGUUAAGGUUGUAAGCUUACUUUACCGA
rnacentral:rRNA from 1 species